rnacentral:rRNA from 1 species
UACGUAGGGGGCAAGCGUUGUCCGGAUUUAUUGGGCGUAAAGAGCGUGUAGGCGGCCAGGUAGGUCUGCUGUGAAAACUCGAGGCUCAACCUCGAGACGCCGGUUGAAACCAUCAGGCUAGAGUCCGGAAGAGGAGAGUGGAAUUCCCGGUGUAGCGGUGAAAUGCGCAGAUAUCGGGAAGAACACCCGUGGCUAAGGCGGCUCUCUAGUACGGUACUGACGCUGAGACGCGAAAGCGUGGGGAGCGAACAGG